UACGGAGGGUGCGAGCGUUAAUCGGAAUUACUGGGCGUAAAGCGCGCGUAGGCGGUUUGUUAAGUCAGCUGUGAAAGCCCCGGGCUCAACCUGGGAACUGCAGUUGAUACUGGCCGACUGGAGUACGAGAGAGGGAGGUAGAAUUCCAUGUGUAGCGGUGAAAUGCGUAGAUAUCUGGAGGAACACCAGUGGCGAAAGCGGCUACCUGGCCCACUCUUGACGCUGAGGCGCGAAAGCUAGGGGAGCAAACGGG
rnacentral:rRNA from 1 species